rfam:Stegodyphus mimosarum contig100550, whole genome shotgun sequence.
GCUUUCGUGGUGUAGUGGUCAGCACACUCGACGCGUAUUCAAGAGGUCCGUGGUUCGAGUCCCGGCGAGUGGCA